CUUUCUUUUGCUUUAACAUAAAUUAAAAACUAAUGUAAAUGAGAAUUCUAGAAGCCUUUCACUUUGAUAUAAAACACUUGUCAAUUAUAUAAAUGUUAUUUUAUGCUGUUCCACAAGACGCAAUAUGUAACAUGAUUACAAAGGUUAGAUUUAUUUUUAGUAAAUUUUAUACAAAAAAAAUUGAUGUAUGAAUGUAUGAAUUAUGGGUUUUUAAUUUCUUUAAUUAGCAAAUCAUUUCUUAUCAGUAUUAAUCUAGUGCAAUGUUAAGUUUUCGAGAAAUAAAGGGAUGUCGUAUUAAGAAUUAUUCAUAAUUGCAAUUCAAAUCUUGCAAAGAUAUGCAACUAGCGAAUCGAUGAUUUAACAAAUAUUAUUCUAGUUUAUCUACAUGUUAUUGAAUUAAACUUACUUUUGAAUUCUGAAAGAUGUAAAUUUCAAACACGAGAAAAUCUGUAAGUCAAAUGUAAACGCUUUUAUGGCCCAUUCUACGCGGGACGCAAGGCAUAGAUACUCCCCGCCCGAAGCUCGUCGAUGAAAUUGCACACAACUGCACAGAAGACUAAAUUCGACACGCUAUGCAUGCCGCCGUACUUCGUCCGUAUGGCCGUAAAAGUCGCUCGCGUAAACAGACGAAUGCUUCUCGUUGUGUUUUAACGUUUCAAGCGUAUUAUCUAGACGAGCGCACGUCAAAGUGCCGACUUACACAUCAGUAAUUCGCGUCUGCGAAGAACUUGAAUGCUCUCUAUACGGUACUCUGUACGUGACUAGGUAUGGUUUUCAUCUUCGGUCAUUUGGUCCUCCGUCACUUUGCCACUGCAGAAAAAACAGAGGCGAGAGAGGAAUUAUCGCGGCGUUGUGAAAUAAAUCUUGCUGAAUUUAAGACGACUAGGAAAACUUGUCAACCGUCAACGCGCGUAUAUUUAUAUACAACGUAAAUUUUACACAAGAUAAUAAAUUACGUGAAAUGAACGCGCUUGAGAGAUACAUAAUUUAAUUUGGUAAAGAAUCGUCACAGAAAUAUCUCUUUUAUAUUAUAUUUCUCUCUCUUCUAUCGAAUAGCGUCAAUGUCCAUUAUGCAUGCCACGUUUCUGAUAAAACGAAACAAAAGUCCAGAAAAAUGUUCCCAGUGAUGCUCGGACGCGCGUAGAUAGCGACAAUAUCAUUUCCGUUCGUGCAAAUUUAAUAUGCGCGCGCGCAGGCAGAAUAAAAACACAUUCGAACGCUGUGACGGAAUAUCGGAAUAAUGAACCGAGAACGGGCGAGCUUCCAAAGUCGGAAGUGCUUCCACUCCAUUUAGCUGUAAAAUUAAUAUUUUUAUAGCAAAAAAAGCACGUCGCCCAAAAAGAAAUCUGUAUUUACUUAUAGUGCGGCAGUAGUGAUGGGGUGGAAUUAAACCUCAUCAACAACCGCGCCCGCGGCAAUUAAUGAAAGAGCAAGAGUUAAGAAAUAUAAUGAUAAAAAAUGUACGAAUGGCCUCGGCUAAUUGGAUGGCAAGAGCGAGAGAGCAAAGAAACGAAAACGAUGCAGGAGUGUCGCAGGCGAUGAAUACUUGACGACUGGCCUGUUUUUGCACGGGCACGACCGGAAUAGCUGGGCGAUUAGGUAUGUAUGAGAUAAGAGAAAAGGGAAGAGCGAAACGGCGCAAACAGCAAGUAGACCUUCUAUCAUACGGUUAUUCUAAGCUGUAGGAACACCUCGAGAAACACGCCAUUCUGUCCUUGACAAAGCUUGACGUGUCCGUUUAAUUUUCCACGAUACUUUAAAAUUCAAUCUCAACUAGAAAAUUAAUUCUAAGGUUAAAGUGCUCGUGCGAUUCGCGCUUUAUUAGUAAAUUUUAUCAGUAAAAUUAAAAAGCUGCAGUAAAAUGCAGUAAAAUUAAAAAGCACGACAUGUACAUAAAAACGAACAAAUAGAGAAAACGUUGUACCGUAUGUUAUCCGAAGAUAUUGCAUUUUCUAUGUGGUGUUUUAAAACAAAAUUAAAAUUCUUUAGAAACAAAUAAAUCUAUAUAUUUCAGUUAAUCGCUCACCAAGCUAAAAGCAUUAAUCGGUAGCGCAUACUUUUAACGAAUGUGACGGACAAAAUGUCAUUGCAAAAAAGAAAUAUAGCCGCAGUGAUACGGUGCGACUAUAUGGUUGAUGUCUACGUGUACAUGUAAAUUCAGCAAGAGAAAGGUUGCUAGUUGACGCGACUCUGUUGCGACUAUUUUGUCCUUUUCGUAUGAAGGGGUAAAACAGGACGGAAACAAACAGAUUUUGUGACUGACAUAUCGUGCGGGGAAAAGGGAAAAGACGGAAGGUGGAAAAGUUGAAAAUGUAAGCUAUGGCGUCCCCUGCAGCUGCACGUUUUGGCGCGGGGAUUUGCCGGAAAAUGGAAAAGGUCUAAGAGACUCGAAUUCUCGGUCCGAUGCGAAAGACUUUUGACCAAGAAAGCGACCAAGGAAAAUGAAUAUUGCAGGUUAGUAAAGGGCUUAUCUAACAAUUUAUCUUAUUGCAAACAGUUGCUAACUCGUGAAAAUAAUACUGUCUCUUUUGACUGCAUGUUGCCUCAAAAUAAACGAAUUUUCAAAUCCUCGCUACAAACAUAUAAAGUUAACGAUGCUUAUGCAAAUUUUAUUUCCUCGAAACACGUUUUAACAUAUUAAAUCCAUAUCUCUCAUUAUCUAUGCAACUGGCCAUUUAUUUAAAUUUUUAAAAUAAUAUAUAAAGCUCUAUAUAAAAUUUUAACACUAUACUUUUAAUCGUAAUUUCUUUUCAAUAUUUAAAUGAGAUAUAAAUUGAAUUAAUGUGAACUGAAUUAUGCAUUAUAGGAUGUAGAGAAGUAAAUUUUUAUAAAUAUGUAAUAAAAAUAUUGAUGUCUGUGUGUAUACGAGUAUAUAUUUCGUAAAAAAAAAAACUAUUCCAUUCCUUCCGUUCCUAUCAGGAAUUUCCCUCUCGUCUUAUCUAGUUGUCGUAGGAACUAAUUUCAAAUUCUGACACCUGACAUUCUUCAACAAAGGUUAGGUUCAAGUAAGAGUUGUGAUCACGUUAAAUUAGUAAGUAGGAAAAUGUCAGACAUAAAAGCACGAAAGGUACAGAGAUAGAGGUUGCUGCAGUGUACUAAUACAAAAGAUUGGAGAACAAAAGCAUGUGAAAAGGAAAAAAUAAUGAAAGAGGAAGAGACAGAAGAGGAAACAAAUCAUGAUUUUAAUGACAUUCAAGAGUUUAUGCCAUGUCAAGAAUUCUUAUACAAUAACAUAUAUCCCUUGAUUCUAUUUGAAUUAUUUCUGCGAUAUUUGUGUCCUCAUAACUGUUUGCAAUCUGCCAUUUAUAAGCAUUAAAACCAGAUGUUUUUCGCUAAAAUAAUUUCAUUUUAGACUUCAUUCAAAUAUAGUACUUAUGUAUUUAUAUAUAUUUAUAUCAUUAAAAAAAAUGAAUUUAUGAAUUCUUUCAAGAACCCCAUAAGAAAAUAAAACGUAAAUUGGCGUGCAAUUUUGGAAAAGAAAUGCUCGACCUCGUUACGAUUUGCUUUAUCAUAUCUAGAAAAUCGAUAGACCUGGGUUCCGCAAUGUGCACAAGGGAUGGAUAAUUGCAGCAGUGUGACCGGUGGCUACACCGCCGAUAAACGUCCUUUCACUUCGAUAUACUUAGCCAUCCGUCACAGCGAAAAUGCAUAACAACGGCUAUAAUGUUGCUGCACACAGUGGCAAUUCGAAAAUCUAAUUUUACAGCGGCAAUGGGAUGUCUUGCAUGAACGUAGAGAGAACUACUCCAGACGGCAAAUCAUCGUGAGUAGGCGUCUGCCGUUUCUUUCGAAAGUAAUCUCUCAAACGGGUAAACGAUUCACCAGAGCGGCAAACGUGUCUUCCCUCGUUUUAAUAAAAGCGCUGGUGCGCGCCGCCGCCGGUGCAAGGAGGCUAUCUCUCGUGCGUUAAGUUGCUUGUAAUAUAUGACUCAGCUUUACGACAUUAAGAGCCUUCUUAAGGUCGUAUCGUGAAGAUGAUAUUUUGACAUCGACGGGCGCUUUCAGUGCCGAGAGAAGCUGCUUAUUUCAAGACGAUAGUAAUUAGAAUUAGUUUGUAAAUUGUAAGUACACGCCAUUUAUGCUUGCAUUCGUUGUAAUUUAUGGAAUAUUUAAUAAAACAGCAGAUAGUAACAGGAUAAAUACUAAAAAAAUUGUGCAUCUGAGAGGAAUUCAUUAAAUAUUUUAAACUUUGAAAAAUGUUCAACAAAAAUUACAUUGUCGAUGAAAUAAAUUCACCGAAUGUCUGUCUUAAUUAAAUUUCAGAAUAGUCCGCAAAAAAAAAUUCGAAGAUUGAAGUAAUCGAUUUAAAAAAAUUAAUUUAAUACGAGUCAUAUAAUAUAUAUAUAGAAUUACAAACUGUACAUCCGAAUGUCACAGUUCGAUAAUUUCUAAAAGCACCGUGCCAAUAAUUUCCACACAUAAUUUCUACCAAAUUCACAGCAAGUAACACCUUGCUUGCUUAACGCGUUGCCAAUACCACCGUCGUACGAAAGUUCUGUGUCUCACUUCCUAAGCAGUAAAUAGUACCCGUCAGAUAUUUGUCGAAUUUCGUAGCCGGAAGUUUGACCGUUGGUCUGGCCAAAUAGUUACAACGUGCAUUUCCACUCCUGGGUAAAGCGAACGUUUCUGAAAACAGUCGGUGGUCAGACUACGGGGGGAUCCUUGUACCGCUGGUACACCGCAAACAUUUACCACGCUAGCGUUCGGUUCAGUCGCAAACAUUACUGACAAUUAGUCCGUAUCUUUGAGCCUUCACUUGCUACUAUCCAGAGGAUUCCCACCGAAUUUCAAGCUACGUGACAAGCUUCAGCCCACAAGUCAAUCUUCCCAAGCAGUCAGCUGUGCUGUGAUAUACAUAUAUGAAAAGAGAGAUAGAAGUUAUUUCGUCGACGAUCACGGGAUAUAACCUAAUGAAUAAAAAAAAAAA
rnacentral:lncRNA from 1 species